rnacentral:piRNA from 1 species
AAGGACUUUACUUAGUCUGGAGCCCAUGCC